rnacentral:lncRNA from 1 species
AUCCACAGAGGCCCUUCCCAUAACCCCCAAGUGGGAAGUUCGCGCAAGUGCGGCUCUGCAGGGAGGAGGGAGGGCCGAGGGGAAGGCCCUCGAGAGAGUGGAGGGCAACAGUGGCCACGGUUCCUCUGUACUUCGUUUCUUCCCUUUAUAGAAUUGAGAGAUUGCUGAGCCUAAAUACAUGUUGCUGCAUUGCCUCCGAGAAUGGCCGGACCUAUCCCCACUCUCACCAAAACAGAGUGUGGGACUCACUGCUCCCUCGCCUACUGGAUGCUGUUUCUAACUGCUGCCGGCCCCUUCUUACCAUCUCUCUGGUUGUGCUUCUGACGCAUUCCCUACACAACUGGAACGUGUUUCCAGGUCAGCCUCCCUAAGCACCUCCCAAGGCCUCCACCCCACAGUGUCGCACAGAACUUGACACAUACCAGAUGCUCCAAUUAUUAAAUAUUACUGAGUACUUUUAGAAAAUUGGGAACAUACAAUAAAGUAUAAUGAAGAAAAUAAAGAAAACCAAUAAUCUCACUUCCCAAAGAUAAUAACUACUGCCA